rnacentral:rRNA from 1 species
UACGGAGGAUUCAAGCGUUAUCCGGAUUUAUUGGGUUUAAAGGGUGCGUAGGCGGGUUAUCAAGUCAGCGGUAAAAUCGUGGAGCUCAACUCCAUCCAGCCGUUGAAACUAUUGGUCUUGAGUGCCGGAGAGGUAAUCGGAAUUCCUUGUGUAGCGGUGAAAUGCGUAGAUAUUAGGAGGAACACCAGUGGCGAAGGCGGCUUACUGGACUGUAACUGACGUUGAGGCUCGAAAGCGUGGGGAGCAAACAGG